rnacentral:rRNA from 1 species
UACGGAAGGCAGCAGUGGGGAAUAUUGCACAAUGGGCGCAAGCCUGAUGCAGCCAUGCCGCGUGUAUGAAGAAGGCCUUCGGGUUGUAAAGUACUUUCAGUCGUGAGGAAGGUGUUAAGGUUAAUAACCUUAGCAAUUGACGUUAGCGACAGAAGAAGCACCGGCUAACUCCGUGCCAGCAGCCGCGGUAAUACGGAGGGUGCGAGCGUUUUUUAAUCGGAAUUACUGGGCGUAAAGGGCACGCAGGCGGUUAAUUAAGUUGGAUGUGAAAUCCCCGGGCUUAAACCUGGGAAUGGCAUUCAAGACUGGUUAGCUAGAGUCUUGUAGAGGGGGUAGAAUUCCAUGUGUAGCGGUGAAAUGCGUAGAGAUGUGGAGGAAAUACCGGUGGCGAAAGGCGGCCCCUGGACAAAAGACUGACGCUCAUGUGCGAAAAGCGUGGGGAGCAAAACAGGAUUAGAUACC